rnacentral:rRNA from 1 species
GAAUCUUAGACAAUGGGCGCAAGCCUGAUCUAGCCAUGCCGCGUGAGUGACGAAGGCCCUAGGGUCGUAAAGCUCUUUCGCCAGGGAUGAUAAUGACAGUACCUGGUAAAGAAACCCCGGCUGACUCCGUGCCAGCAGCCGCGGUAAUACGGAGGGGGUUAGCGUUGUUCGGAAUUACUGGGCGUAAAGCGCGCGUAGGCGGACUAUUAAGUCAGGGGUGAAAUCCCGGGGCUCAACCCCGGAACUGCCUCUGAUACUGGUAGUCUUGAGUUCGAGAGAGGUGAGUGGAAUUCCGAGUGUAGAGGUGAAAUUCGUAGAUAUUCGGAGGAACACCAGUGGCGAAGGCGGCUCACUGGCUCGAUACUGACGCUGAGGUGCGAAAGCGUGGGGAGCAAACAGG